GGGCUAUUAGCUCAGUGGUAGAGCGCGCCCCUGAUAAUUGCACUUCACGGGCGAGGUCUCUGGUUCAAGUCCAGGAUGGCCCA
rnacentral:tRNA from 1 species